rnacentral:rRNA from 1 species
GACGAACGCUGGCGGCGUGCUUAACACAUGCAGGUCGGGCGGAAAGGCCACUUCGGUGGUACUCGAGCGGCGAACGGGUGAGUAACACGUGAGUAAUCUGCCCCUGGCUUUGGGAUAGCCACCGGAAACGGUGAUUAAUACCGGAUACGACCACUUCUCGCAUGGGAUGGUGGUGGAAAGUUUUUUCGGCCAGGGAUGUGCUCGCGGCCUAUCAGCUUGAUGGUGAGGUAAUGGCUCACCAUGGCUUCGACGGGUAGCCGGCCUGAGAGGGUGACCGGUCACACUGGGACUGAGACACGGCCCAGACUCCUACGGGAGGCAGCAGUGGGGAAUAUUGGACAAUGGGCGGAAGCCUGAUCCAGCAACGCCGCGUGAGGGAUGACGGCCUUCGGGUUGUAAACCUCUUUCAGCAGGGACGAAGCGCAAGUGACGGUACCUGCAGAAGAAGCACCGGCCAACUACGUGCCAGCAGCCGCAGUAA